GAUGAACGCUGGCGGCGUGCCUAAUACAUGCAAGUCGAGCGAACGGACGAGAAGCUUGCUUCUCUGAUGUUAGCGGCGGACGGGUGAGUAACACGUGGAUAACCUACCUAUAAGACUGGGAUAACUUCGGGAAACCGUAGCUAAUACCGGAUAAUAUUUUGAACCGCAUGGUUCAAAAGUGAAAGACGGUCUUGCUGUCACUUAUAGAUGGAUCCGCGCUGCAUUAGCUAGUUGGUAAGGUAACGGCUUACCAAGGCAACGAUGCAUAGCCGACCUGAGAGGGUGAUCGGCCACACUGGAACUGAGACACGGUCCAGACUCCUACGGGAGGCAGCAGUAGGGAAUCUUCCGCAAUGGGCGAAAGCCUGACGGAGCAACGCCGCGUGAGUGAUGAAGGUCUUCGGAUCGUAAAACUCUGUUAUUAGGGAAGAACAUAUGUGUAAGUAACUAUGCACAUCUUGACGGUACCUAAUCAGAAAGCCACGGCUAACUACGUG
rnacentral:rRNA from 1 species